CCUACGGGCGGCAGCAGUGGGGAAUAUUGGACAAUGGGGGGAACCCUGAUCCAGCCAUGCCGCGUGUGUGAAGAAGGCCCUCGGGUUGUAAAGCACUUUCAGUGAGGAAGAACGCCUGGUGGUUAAUACCCAUCAGGAAAGACAUCACUCACAGAAGAAGCACCGGCUAACUCCGUGCCAGCAGCCGCGGUAAUACGGAGGGUGCGAGCGUUAAUCGGAAUUACUGGGCGUAAAGCGCGCGUAGGUGGCUUGAUAAGCCGGUUGCGAAAGCCCCGGGCUCAACCUGGGAACGGCAUCCGGAACUGUCAAGCUAGAGUGCAGGAGAGGAAGGUAGAAUUCCCGGUGUAGCGGUGAAAUGCGUAGAGAUCGGGAGGAAUACCAGUGGCGAAGGCGGCCUUCUGGACUGACACUGACACUGAGGUGCGAAAGCGUGGGUAGCAAACAGGAUUAGAUACCCGAGUAGUC
rnacentral:rRNA from 1 species